UUAAUGAUUUUUUAUUUUCUCCAUUAUAGUUCAUUUACAGUGUUCUGUCAAUUUCUACUGACAGCAAAGUGACCCAGUCACACAUAUGUAUAUAUACAUUCUUUUUCUCACAUUAUCCUCCAUCAUGCUCCAUCAUAAGUGACUAGAUGUAUUUCCCAGUGCUAUACAGCAGGAUCUCCUCGCUAACUGACUCCAAAUGCAAUAGUUUGCAUAUAUUAACCCCAGACUCCCAGUCCAUCCCACUCCCUCCCUCUCCCCCUUGACAUCCACAAGUCUAUUCUCCAAGUCCAUGAGUUUCUUUUCUGUGGAAAAGUACAUUUGUGCCAUAUAUUAGAUUCCAGAUAUAAGUGAUAUCAUAUGGUAUUUGUCUUUCUCUUUCUGACAUUUCACUUAUAUGAGAGUCUCCAUUUCCAUCUAUGUUGCUGCAAAUGGCAUUAUUUUGUUCUUUUUUAUGGCCGAGUGGUAUUCCAUUGUGUAUAUAUACCACAACUUCUUAAUUCAUUCAUCUGUCAAUGGACAUUUAGGUUGUUUCCAACAAUCUUUUAAGUUGCAAGAAGUUUUGUCUCCCUAAAUGGCAUCCUGAAACUAGAAAGGGAUGGUAAUUAAAUCCCAAUGUUCUAAGAAUAAUCAUAUCACCUGAAACAUGGUGUCUCCAGGAAUAUCCUCAAGUAUUACAAAAAGUAUCUAUGCUAUUAUUGUAUUUGAUGACUGUCACAGACUGAAUGUUUGCACCCCGCACCCCCCAUUCCUAAAUUGAAAUCCUAACUCCAUUGUGAUGGUAUUAGGAGGUGGGCUUCUGGUAGGUCAUAUAAUGGGAUUAGUGCUCUUAUAAAAAGGGUUCAGGAGAAUGUUAUUGCCCCUUCUGCCAUUCAAGGACAUAGUGAGAAGACGGCAAAUGAACCAGGAAAAAGGUUCUCACCAAACAAUGAAUCUACUAGCAUGUUGAUCUUGGAGUUCCCAGCCUUGAGAACUAUGAGAAAUAAAUUUCUGUUGUUCAAGCCACCCAGUCUAUGAUAUUUUGUUAUAACAGCACAAAUGGACCAAGGCAAGAACAAAGUACUUCUACCCCUGAUGGUAAAAUAUAUAUAUAUAGAGAGAGAACAAAUUACUGAAUUCAUCAAAUUUGGAGUGAUCUUAAAUUUCAGAAAAAUGAAAAUAUUACAUUCAAAUGAUCCAAUAUUAGCCCAUAUUUUUCACUCAGACUAUUGUUUCAGACCUACUAAUAAUCAUAAAGCUAAUAUUAGGAAGAUCUUACAAAGUGUUUUAUGGACAUUCAAUCAUUUAUUUGACUCAACCAUCCUAUGUGAUAAGUACUACUAUCAUUCCACUUUACAGAUGAAGAAACUAAAGUUUAUUGAGGUUAAGAAUCAUGCAUAGUCAUACUGCAUCUCUGUUUACCUGCAGCUUAGUCAAUCUGGACAAAAUAACAGGGGUGGGAGAGGUAGGGGGAGGUAGAGGGAGUAUCAAGCUUGAUAUUUUGUUCUGUCUAAUGGCCAAGGAAAACACUGUGAAAUAUCUGAACAUUAACUUGCCCUAAGGCCACAAGCUUGUCUUCAGUACUGCCAAUAGUGUAAGAGAUACAUCUAAAGUCCUCGCUGAUAUUUCUUAUAUCACCCAGUUUAAUCACAUACAAAAUAAGUUAAUUGGAUCUAAGAUCUAUCUGAAUAUUUCUAAUUGUAGCAGGAUUGUAUAGGGAGAAUUAAGUAACAUAAGGAGUUGAUAGUUCUGUUUAAGUAAAAGUUGGAAAAAAUAUAUAACCUAAACAAUUCCAUUGAACUCUCAGUACAUGUUAAGAGUAAUGGUAUAAUGACACAUUAUUGAAAAAAUAAAAUAAUUUUAACUCACAUCCUCUAAUAUGAAGAAUUUCUGUUUUCUUUAGAUGAACUCUUAAUGCUUUCUUUCUCUCCACAAGGUAGAAAAUUUGAAGUUAAAGGCUAUGAGCAGUUACAUGCACUGGCUUAUUUACCAAUUCUUAGGUUUAGAUUAUAGGAGGUUUCUUAUAUUAGUUAAGAAUCUUCUAAAUUCUUUACAAACAUGGUUAUAGCAUCCCAGAAAACUGAUCCUGAAAGAGAUUCCUAUUUGUGAAAAUUUAUAAAAUAUUUCAUCAUGAGAACUAGGUGCAAAAGACAUGAAUUCCAAGGACUUACCACUUUUGGUAUUAAAGAGUUUACUUUUAGCUUAGUUCUAUUAUAUGGAAAUUGAUCUAAAAUGCUAUUUUAGGCAGAAAUUUGUCCUCAUCAUUAAACUUUUCAUGGUGAAUCCAGAUAACCAGUAUGAACAUUAACUACUGAAAUCCUCACAACAUACUAAGGGAGUUAAAAGUAAUCAUCAAUACACCAAAUAGCCGUAGGCUGUUCUGUAUCUUCAUCCUUCUAAUUUUUACAAACUUUAUAAUAACAUCCUUCCAGCUCAAGUUCACAGAAUCAGAUAUUUUUAAGUGAAUCAAUUUCAGGUGCUCAGCUUUCUUACUAAAACUGAUCGGAGAAUGCACCUGCAUUUGAGGAGUCAGGGGAUGACAAUUUCUGUUUAAAGACCUUGCCUUUUCAGAGUUCCCUGGUUGCCUAGCGGUAAAGGAUACAAUGCUGUGGCUCUGGAUCAUUCCCUGGCCUCAGAAUUUCAGCAUGCUACAAGUGUAGCCAAAAUGAAACAAACAAACAAAAAAAACCACCUUGCCUUUUCAUCUGCAAGCUACUGUCAAAGAAGACAUUGCUCCUGAGAAAAAAAUUCCCUAAGAGGCAAGCAAAGAGGGAAUCAAUAAGAAAUACCAACAGAGGGGUGCCUUAUUUCCCCAGGGGCAGGUUACUGCAAGCCUUCUCACCCUAUCUAGAAUUCUUUUUAGAUUGAGAAUUCAGAACUGAAAAGACAAGUCACUCAGAGGCUCAUGAGAAUUUAUUUGAAUACAAAAAUUCAACCCAAAAGAAAGUACGCUGCCCUAGCUGACUGAGUCAGCAUAUAAGUUUCUCAAAAUAAGUUAGAUAGGUAGACAUUUUUCAUAAGCUUAACAAGCUAAAUCUGUAGCUCCAAAGUUUUGAUGAGAUAUACUUAAAGCAUGAGAUAUACUUAAAACAUGAGAUCAGAUAAAAGAAUUUUGUCCAAAAAGAUCAUAUCAUAUCAACUGAAUUUUGGAAUAUUUUUAUUUCCCCAAUUCUGAGUGUAUCAAGUUCAACAUGGUGCCUCUAAGAAAAAGAGAAACAAGUGUAAUUAGUGGGUAUUUGAGAGCAUUUGGUACGUCUUUGGUGUACUUCCCAGAAACAGAGAAAGUGAAUGUCUCAGGUGACUGAUUAAGAAUCCUUUUGCAAGUCAGGGUUUCUUUUCGACAAAAUUGAAGGAGAACUAAUUAAGUCGUUAGAGGACGAAUCAUGCACAAUAAUUUGAUAAGAAAUCAUUAUGUGAUUUUUGGUAUAAAGUUGGUAAGGAGUUUUCUUCAAUGACAUAAAAAUCUCUCCAAUCUCAUCCACUUCCUUGUAUGAGAAAGAUUUCUCAAUGUUUAAAACUGGAAUUGUCGGAGUUUCUGUCGUGGCUCAGUGGUUAACAAAUCCAACUAGGAACCAUGAGGUUGAGGCUUCAAUCCCUGCCCUUACUCACUGGGUUAAGGAUCCAGCAUUGCCGUGAGCUGUGGUGUAGGUCACAGACGCAGCUCGGAUCCAGCGUUGCUAUGGCUCUGGUGUGGGCCGGCGACUACAGCUCUGAUUCAACCCCUAGCCUGGGAACCUCCAUACGCCGCCUCCACGGGAGGCCCAAGAAAUGGCAAAAAGACAAAAAAAUAAAAUAAAUAAAUAAAUAAAUAAAAUUGGAAUUGUGCUAAAUCCUAUCUUGUUCCUGAAAUAAAUAUAUGACUUAAUACAAAAACUAAUUUUUAAGAAAACAUGGUCUAUCUUCAUUAAUAGAUGAAGGUCCAAUAAACUUUUAUAUUUAGUGAUUAUUUAUCAAUAUUUAAUAUAAUUACAAUUUUGAUCAAUGUGUGCUAAUAAUAACAGCAAUAAAAACUCUGGAUGGACUUUUACAUCCAGAUGUAAUUUUUGGAUCCAGAUGUAAUUUUUGAAAUUUAGAGGAUUAUGGAUUCAGGAAAUUAUUUUUAUUUUAAGAUUCUGAGACUAUACAAUGAGCAAUAAAAAUUUUAAGCAUAUUUCAUUGAUAAGAUUUUAUAAGGUAAGUGAACAAAAAUAUGAAUUAAAAGAGAAAAAAGACUGGUGCAGAGUUUUCAACCAAUAAAAAACUUGCUUUUAUAUUUCAAAUACAUAAUGGUGAGAAUCAAAUUAUUAUAAUAUUGUAGAAUCUAAAUGGAUAUAUUUUAAAAUGAUUUAGAUUCUUAAUUUCAAAAUGUCAAUAUUUACAACAUACCAGAAAUUAUGAAAAAAAACUUGAGUUCUAUAAUUAUUCCAAAAAUCUUUCAAGGUAUAGGGAACAAAGAAAUUAGAACUUCCUUGUUUACUUCUCGUGCCUUCUCAUUAUUUAUGGAAUUAGAAAGUAAGCUUUCCUAGCCCAACUUUCACAUUUGCUCUUUGAUCCGUUGUUCCCUUAGAAAUUGAGGUCUCCAAAUCAUGGAAAUGUAGACAUGAUGAAAAACUGCCCAAACAAAUAUGUCACUAAUCAUUUGCUUUACCAUAAAACUCAUGAUAAGUUUCUUUUAAGUAACAAUCUGCUCUAGUGUUUCUGAACUAUGGCUCUAUGACUAAAAAUUCAUCACUGCAUUCUAUUUGCUGGCUCUUCACUUUUUAAGUCUUAAAUUAAAAAUAUGAUGCUUUGAUUCUGUAGCAGAUCUUCAAGAAUAAUCCCUUCUUAAGUGUCUUCACAAAUAUGUUAUGGAGUUUAGCAUGACAGCAGAAAGUAAACAGGUGAGAAGGGAGAAAGGAAAAGAGGAGAAGAUGAAAUGGUAUGAUGAUACCAAAGAAGAGGGUGGGUAACUCUAAGCAUCCAGACCUUUUCAAAAGUGGCAUCACUAAAUUUUAUCACUAAUUCACAAUAGGAUUAAAAUGCAAAUCAUUUUUAUUUAAGAGCAAAGCUAAGUAUCAGUUUAAUAUAAUUCUUGUCUCUGGAGCAAUACCAGCCAGAUUUCUUUCAUAGUUUUCUCUCUGAGACAAGAAAUGCCUAAUGAAACAAGGUACGGAGUAUUUCUUAAGAUUUGCUGAUCCUUAUAAGUCCCUUGACCUCUCUAUGGUACUCCAUUCUUUUACCUAUAAAAUGAGAAGGUGGCCCUAAACCAAUAAUUUGGGGAAGGGUAAGGUGGGUAAAUGAGAAGGGACAUGUCCCAAGGGAUGAAUUUUUUAGACAGAGAGGAUUUUGUUCUUUCCUUCAAAAGGAACAAAAGGCUGCCAUCACAAUCUAGCUUUAAUUUUAAGGUCGCUUCCAACAAUGAGAUGCUAUAUUCCUGAACUAUGACUAGAAAACAUUGAUAUUUCUUUGUUCCUCUUCUCCCCUGUCCUUUGUUCCUGGCAAGCAUCACUAUUUACUCCUUGUUGCUUAGAUGAGGUGUGUGCCUGGGAGGAGGAGGGAAUAAAAGAUGUAACUAGAGACCAAUUUUCAGCCCCUCUGAGGCUCAAUCUGUAGUACUACGUUUUUAUGACUUCACAACCCUCCCAGCUUAAGAAAAAAAUUAUGAGGAAUUUUAAAAGAUCCCUUUUUCUCUCAUCUUGAAGCCUGUUAAAUGAUAUUUGUAAAAAGAAGGUACAAAAUAAGAGGUUGCCAAAUAAGUUACUUUUUCUAAAUCAGAGAAGUUCAAAGAUAAAAUGGGGCCUGUCUUGGUGGUCAGCUGUCAGAGUGAAAUUUAAUUUAGCAAUGACAAUAGACAAAGUAUGUCAGACUAAGUGCUUGAUCAAGAAUCUGAAAACUUUUCAAUAAAACAGCCUUGAUGUCAGUUAGGGCAGACAACACCAGGUAGAGAACGACUAUGCUGAAAAUAAAUUAAGAAAAUGUCUUGCAGGAUCAAGGGAAAAAAUUCUUUAUUAUCUUCCCAACUCAUCUUCCUCUAUGUAACUUUCAGAGACUCUUCAUUUUAGGAGGUUUUCCAGCCAUAGUGAUGGGUUGAUGGAGAUGUCGUGUUCCUGGAUCUAGUGACUUCUUGUCAAGGCUCCAAAGCCCAGAGUCACUCCUAUUUAGAAAAUCUCCUAUAUCCUUUUGGAUUACGCUUGAUCUCUUUUUAUCUAAUUAAUUACAUCUCAGGAACCAUGAAGUAAUUACAUUAAGAGCUUGGAGGCAUGCCUUCAGGAAUGUCACUGUGGCUUUCUGUUUGUUUGCUUUAAAGCAAACCAGCACUUUGGAACUUGGUUCAGAUUAGCAAUUUUGUGCUUUCAGUUAGAUACCAAGCAAUGGUUCUACUCCUGGUUACUAAAAUAAGAAAGCAGGUAAAGGACAUAAAGGAAUGUGACUCAAUCUCUCUCUUCCCUUUGUAUUCUACUUUAGCAUAAUGACUUUAGACCUCUGGACUUCAGUUGGGAGCACAGAGGCUAUUGGCAAACUUUACUUGUUUACCUGAGGGUCAAGUGGGAUGAAAAGCAGAAUAGGAAGACAGAACUUUCCAAGGACUGGCCCUGGUAAAAGCACAGAGAAACAAUACAGAUCAGCAAAGGGACUUUUUUUUUUUUCCCUUUUCUUCCUUUUUAAAAAAUAUUGUCAAUCUAGUAAGUGCUGAAGACUAUUUGCUAAGCUGUUCAAAGACAUAACUAUUCUGAGAUUACUCCUUCACUUGUCUACUCUCAUAGGCCUCUGUGAACAUCUGUGCCAUGUGUACAGGCCUCUUCCAAACAAAAGGAAGAGGUCUGAAGAGGAUAUGCUUUCAGAAAAGCUGUAAAUACAUUUAAGAAAUUCUCUGAAAGUUCAUCAGCUACCUGAUUUCCUAGGCAAGGCUUCUUAUCACAUUAACCAUGAUUUAAGAUGGAAGUGGGGGGAUAGAAUAAAGAUAGAGGAAUAAGAAGGGGAGGAAAAGGGAAGGUAAUGAAUGAUUAAUGAAAAUCUGGUGAUUAAUGGAAAAAAGAUUUUAAGAAAUAAUAAAGCAUUUAUCCCUAGGGUAGAAAACAGGAAAAAACAAAAAUGAGUACCAAAUUGAAACUGGCAAAACACUGAAAGAAGAGAGUAGAACAAAGAAACAGAGUAGGACAAAGAAAUGCUCCUUUCAGUAUAAGAUUGUUGAAAAGACACACAGGAUUUGAAAACUUACCAUUUAGGAGAUAUUUGCUUAAACAAAAAUAAAUUUAUAUUUGCCUGAUUUCCUGAAAGUUACCGAUAAUGGGCCAUUUAUGGAUAAGAGCCUGCAGAUAUUCAGGUAUACAGAAGCCAGACUUUGUGUCUGUUGAACGUUUCUUUCUCUUCAAAAUCUGACACAGCAUCAGAGUGCAUGAGAACCCUCAGCUGCAUGGAUCCAUCACCAAUGAAUGAGAACCUGGCUUUUCAGAUGCACACUUUUUAGUGAGCACACUGGGCUCUCCAGAGCAGCAUGUAUGUGAAUUACCUAUGUGUGGGCACAGCCUAAGGGAAAACUCAUAUGAGGCACAGAGGCAAUUUAUAAACACAAGCUGUACAUUGAUAAGGAGACAGAAGUAUAUCACAAAGGGUGUAGAUGCCCAGGUUUUUCCACAAAAGCUGACCUUCACACAUGCAAGGGAAAAAUACCACAAAAACAUUCCUAUUGCAAGACGAGCAAUGACUGAAAAUAAGAAUGUGUGUACUUUACUUAUUUUGAAUGUUAGUUAAAGGAAAACAGGUUUAAUUGGAAGACAAGUUGAGCUGAUGAUAACAGUUAUGGAGAUUCUUCAGGGAGCUUCUGGACACAUGCAAGAGCCAUGAAGGCUGGCGACAUAUGUUUUGAAAAAAUUAGGCCUUAUUUCCCAUGACAGUUUUUUUUUUUUUUCCUUUUCUAUGAAUUUGGUGUAUUACCCAUACAGCUUGUACUCCCAUUACCCAUGAUUAGGAACACAUUAGGCUCACAUUAGGUUCCCUGAAGACAGAAUCCAAGAUUCUUUCAAUUUUGUAAUUUUGGUAUCUAGUUUGCUUCACAGAUUUCUCUGAAGUGAUCAAAUGAAUGAGUAUGUGAACUAAUGAAUGACUUGUUAAAACAGUAUUGCGAAGAAUUUUGUAAUGGAGGGAGGGGCAUCAUUUUCUACAAAGGCAUCAAUUUGUUCUAUUACAUCUCCUAAAUCACAAGAACUACUGAUCUGAUACUGAAAAGGAAUACCUGCCUCAGGCAGAAGUGACUGGAAAAAAAAAAAAAAAAAAAAAGUA
rnacentral:lncRNA from 1 species